GAUAGAAAAAUAGUAGUACGGUCAAAUAAACAAACGUUCUUAUUUUUACUAUGCCAUAAAAUAGUUACCAUGACCACGAAUAUGGUAAUGUGUAUAAAAAUAUCGUGACGACUACCACAAACUGUUAAUAAUUCCAAUAGUGAUAAUUACCAUGAAACAUAGUUCAUAAGAAUGUUUUGGAAGACUCCAUUUUUUGCUGCAGCUUCCGAAGCACCUAAAUUUUUGCCGCUAUAUAUUUUUAUUAUGAAUAUUCACCGUUGCUUUACCAUAGUUUUUUGAAGCGAAACUGCCUUGGUGUUGUAACGAACUCACGCCUCUAAGCACGAAACCAUAUCGGAGUGCAUCGGCGGAAUCUACCCCACGCUGGCCGAGUCACUGAGAACAUUCAACCCGAAGGAUGGUUCCAUGGCGGCCGCAAAUGGUUUUAGGAAAACGAUCUAUAAUUACGAAGUUAUCCACGCCACUGACAUUCCGGCCGCUUUUCAAGACAUGGGGCCAACCUGAACUGGAAGGUCAUCGAUGCGUACGCCUACCUGAUUCGGAAUGAAAUCCCCCAGCAGCUGGGCGAAAAACCAAUGCUAGCUGACCCGUUCCCUGUCCAUCGAGAAUGACGGCAUAAAUAUCCAUUGCAUCGCCGUUGGUCAAGCCGUAGCUGUCCAGGUAAUGAGGUUCGAUCCCAACCAACGAAUAUUGCUCGACCGAUCUCUUCAGCAGGAAAUCAGCUAUUAUUCACCGAAGAACAUACUUGCUGGCGGCAACAUCGAUAUAGUUAUAAUUAACGAUGUAAUUACAUAUCUACACCUGAGGAAUUAAAAUAAAACACCAAAA
rnacentral:lncRNA from 1 species